rnacentral:rRNA from 1 species
CUUUACAGGUCUGGCAAUUGGAAUGAGAACAAUUUAAAUCCCUUAACGAGGAUCAAUUGGAGGGCAAGUCUGGUGCCAGCAGCCGCGGUAAUUCCAGCUCCAAUAGCGUAUAUUAAAGUUGUUGCAGUUAAAAAGCUCGUAGUUGGAUUUCUGGUGGGAGCGGUCGGUGCGGUCCUCAGGAUUGCUACUCGUACCGUCUCUUGCCAUCCUUGGGUCGAUCCUGUCUGGCAUUAAGUUGUCGGGCAGGGGAUGCCCAUCGUUUACUGUGAAAAAAUUAGAGUGUUCAAAGCAGGCUUAUGCCGUUGAAUAUAUUAGCAUGGAAUAAUAAGAUAGGACUUUGGUACUAUUUUGUUGGUUUGCGUUACGAAGUAAUGAUUAAUAGGGACAGUUGGGGGUAUUCGUAUUUCGUUGUCAGAGGUGAAAUUCUUGGAUUUCCGAAAGACGAACUACUGCGAAAGCAUUUACCAAGGAUGUUUUCAUUGAUCAAGAACGAAAGUUAG